rnacentral:lncRNA from 1 species
CCAAAAAAAAAAAAGGCACUAUGAUAAACAGCCAUUUAUGGUUGAGUGAUGUGAAUGCAAUCCAUCACAAUCUUCUUCACCUGCACAUAAUAGAAGACUAUUUUUAUUGUCGGUGCUCCAUCAUGUUUAAUAAUUAUUUUUUUCCUUUUUAUCGUCUUUCUUCUUAAAGGAUAUGAUCGAACUGCUAUUUUGUCAAAAAUGAUCAAUUAAGUGCUUUUCAAUCUAAGCAAAGAAAAGCUUUUUACGUAGUAACGGAAGAGAUUCUCGAGAAGUUUGAUAUGUUAAGGUAUCCCUUAUGUGAUGUGAAGUUGCGAGGUUCUUGUCAUUCUCUUGAAAUAUAUAUAUAUAUAUAUAUAUAGAGAGAGAGAGAGAGAGAGAGAGUUAUUAUCUAGUUAGGUUAAUAUAUGAUACUUUAUAAUGUAUUAUAGUACCACCUUAUUUGUACAAGAAAGAUUCUACUUAUUUCUAAAAAGAUGAAAGAUGUUAAUUUUGAGUUGAUGAAAGAAAUGAUAUUCCUACAAUGACAGUAAAAAAGAAUUUUAAAUUAAAUUAAACGACUAAUCACUGUUAUUUUUUAGGCAAAGAAGCGGUAAGAGUGUUGCCUUUUUAGGGCGGAGGUAACAAAAGAAAAAAUUGGAGUAAAAUCCAGUGAUUCACUUAGCCGCAACAAAUCAAUCAUGCAUCUCUAACCAUGUCAAAUAAUAAAAAAAACUUUCCUUACUUAACCAACAAAGUCAUAAAAUACACAGAUAUAGACAUUUAAAACACCUAAUUAUGGGCCAAACAAAGUCAGAAUCAAAUUGAAUAAUGCAUCUACUUAAGGCAAAUCCCACCCAAAUAUCCAACCUAAUUGUGUGUAAGUCAUGACCUGUAUUUUCCUUGUCAGUUGCCACAUCAAGAUGGGAACUUUGAACGCGACUGAUCAUAUAACGAAAGCUAGAUGAAAGAUGGUAAUGUUUGUCCAAACUUUUUUAACUUUAAUUUCUAUAAUUUCAAAUUUAAAAAAUUUUCCAUUCAUAUAUACAUAUAUACGCCAAUAAUGAAACCUCAAGAAGCAAGAACCAUUUUUUUUAUUUAGAGAUAAAUAUGAUAUUCACAAUUCUCAACAACAUGAAUAAAAAUAAAUAAAAAAAAAGGUGAGAACAAUAGAGAAGCAAGGAAGAAAGGGAACAAACAACCUUACCAAACAGGUAGAGCGCAUUAUUUUAUUAUCAUCCCCCUUUUGCUUUCCACAUUAAUUAUUCCAAUCCAAAAAGGGUACGCAUGGCUAUAAACCAUUGGCUUUGUCGUGGCCAAUUUAAAGCCUCUACACCUAUUUUGUUUUUUGUUUUUUUUUAUCCCCAGCAAGCUUUCUAAACUUGGAAAGUCUCGGAAACACACUGUAAUUAUUCAAUAAUAACAAUAAUAAUAUAAUUAACCCUAGAGAGCAAAAGAGGACCAGCAUUUGCACUUCUCACUAUUGCAACACAUGCAUCACGCUGCUGCAGUGCCAUGACAGGACCUGUGAACAAUAAUGCAAUGUCCCCGAAAUUAAUAUCCUGUGACAUUUCAAUUCAUUGGUUUUGGUUUAUCAGUUGGGUACCGUCAUAACAUAUGAAACCUACAAGAACCGAAACUUCACCAAGAUUGCUGUAUGCAUGGGCUUGGCAGAAGAUGGGGCUACGGCCUUCAGGUUCAUUAUUAUUUUGUUUAUCUCAAUGAGAAAUAUAUAUCCAGCAGAGUCUCCUUUGUUUUGUUAGGUUUUGGGGUUUCUCUCGACGAACUCCUAUCACCAACAAAGGUGAAAGCAGCUUUCGAUUUGACAUUAUUUGUGGAUAUGAGCUUCGAGGUUCCAAAUCGGGUAAUAAAUGAUUAUGACAAAAAAAUAAGUCACAAGAAAGGUUUUCAAGAAAGGAUUUGAUUAAUUUGUCU